CGAACGGGAUGCUUAGGCAUCUAGUGGCGGACGGGUGAGUAACGCGUGAGAAUCUGGCUCCAGGUCGGGGAUAACAGUUGGAAACGACUGCUAAUACCGGAUGUGCCGAGAGGUGAAAGAUUUAUUGCCUGGAGAUGAGCUCGCGUCUGAUUAGCUAGUUGGUGGUGUAAGGGACCACCAAGGCAUCGAUCAGUAGCUGGUCUGAGAGGAUGAUCAGCCACACUGGGACUGAGACACGGCCCAGACUCCUACGGGAGGCAGCAGUGGGGAAUUUUCCGCAAUGGGCGAAAGCCUGACGGAGCAAUACCGCGUGAGGGAGGAAGGCUCUUGGGUCGUAAACCUCUUUUCUCAAGGAAGAAGAAAGUGACGGUACUUGAGGAAUAAGCAUCGGCUAACUCCGUGCCAGCAGCCGCGGUAAUACGGAGGAUGCAAGCGUUAUCCGGAAUGAUUGGGCGUAAAGGGUCUGCAGGUGGAACUGAAAGUCUGCUGUUAAAGAGUUUGGCUUAACCAAAUAAAAGCGGUGGAAACUACAGAACUAGAGUGUGGUAGGGGCAAAAGGAAUUCCUGGUGUAGCGGUGAAAUGCGUAGAUAUCAGGAAGAACACCGGUGGCGAAAGCGUUUUGCUAGACCAUAACUGACACUGAGGGACGAAAGCUAGGGGAGCGAAUGGGAUUAGAUACCCCAGUAGUCCUAGCCGUAAACGAUGGAUACUAGGCGUGGCUUGUAUCGACCCGAGCCGUGCCGGAGCUAACGCGUUAAGUAUCCCGCCUGGGGAGUACGCACGCAAGUGUGAAACUCAAAGGAAUUGACGGGGGCCCGCACAAGCGGUGGAGUAUGUGGUUUAAUUCGAUGCAACGCGAAGAACCUUACCAAGACUUGACAUCCUGCGAAUCCUGUGAAAGCUGGGAGUGCCUUCGGGAGCGCAGAGACAGGUGGUGCAUGGCUGUCGUCAGCUCGUGUCGUGAGAUGUUGGGUUAAGUCCCGCAACGAGCGCAACCCUCGUUUUUAGUUGCCAGCAUUAAGUUGGGCACUCUAGAGAGACUGCCGGUGACAAACCGGAGGAAGGUGAGGAUGACGUCAAGUCAGCAUGCCCCUUACGUCUUGGGCUACACACGUACUACAAUGCUACGGACAGAGGGCAGCGAGCCAGGGAUGGCAAGCGAAUCCAGAAACCGUAGCUCAGUUCAGAUCGAAGGCUGCAACUCGCCUUCGUGAAGGAGGAAUCGCUAGUAAUUGCAGGUCAGCAUACUGCAGUGAAUUCGUUCCCGGGCCUUGUACACACCGCCCGUCACACCAUGGAAGUUGGUCACGCCCGAAGUCAUUACCCCAACCGAAAGGAGGGGGAUGCCUAAGGUAGGACUGGUGACUAGGGUGAAGUCGUAACAAGGUAGCCGUACCGGAAGGUGUGGCUGGAUCACCUCCUUU
rnacentral:rRNA from 1 species